CAGUCGCCGCGGGAAUACGUAGGGUGCAAGCGUUAUCCGGGAUUAUUGGGCGUAAAGAGCUCGUAGGCGGUUUGUCGCGUCUGCUGUGAAAACUGGAGGCUCAACCUCCAGCCUGCAGUGGGUACGGGCAGACUAGAGUGCGGUAGGGGAGAUUGGAAUUCCUGGUGUAGCGGUGGAAUGCGCAGAUAUCAGGAGGAACACCGAUGGCGAAGGCAGAUCUCUGGGCCGUAACUGACGCUGAGGAGCGAAAGCAUGGGGAGCGAACAGGAUUAGAUACCCCCGUAGUCCCUGUCUCUUAUAA
rnacentral:rRNA from 1 species